UGACAGAUGGCUGGAAUAAGAUCAGUCUUU
rnacentral:piRNA from 1 species